rnacentral:rRNA from 1 species
GGAAUUUUCCGCAAUGGGCGAAAGCCUGACGGAGCAACGCCGCGUGAGGGAUGAAGGCCUCUGGGCUGUAAACCUCUUUUAUCAAGGAAGAAGAUCUGACGGUACUUGAUGAAUAAGCCACGGCUAAUUCCGUGCCAGCAGCCGCGGUAAUACGGGAGUGGCAAGCGUUAUCCGGAAUUAUUGGGCGUAAAGCGUCCGCAGGCGGCCUUGUAAGUCUGUUGUUAAAGCGUGGAGCUUAACUCCAUUUAAGCGAUGGAAACUGCAAGACUAGAGUGUGGUAGGGGCAGAGGGAAUUCCCGGUGUAGCGGUGAAAUGCGUAGAUAUCGGGAAGAACACCAGUGGCGAAGGCGCUCUGCUGGGCCAUAACUGACGCUCAUGGACGAAAGCCAGGGGAGCGAAAGGGAUUAGAUACCCCAGUAGUC